AUGCAUGUAGAUACUCGAUGCCCUGUUUGCUUCCGAUUUGAUGAGGAUGGCGGACACUGUUUCAUUAAGUGCAAAAAGGUUAAGGAGGUGUGGAGGAAAGCUCAGUUGGAGCAUGUUAGAGUGCAAAUUUUGUCUUGUGCAGAUCCUCUGGGCUGUAUGGAAAUAAUCAUGAACCUUAACAAAGAAGAAAAACUUAAAUCUUGCCUGCUCCUCUGGCACUGGUGGCAUGAAAGGAAUAGAGCAAAUGCAGGAGAUAAUAUUAGAUCCUCUGAUGAAAUAUGUCACUCCAUUAACUAUCUUUUUGUGCAUUUCCUUAAGGUUGGGGAAAUAGGAGGAAAGCCAAAGCAACAACAAAAGGAAAGAUGGUCCAGGCCUCCAGCAGAAAUUUUGAAAAUCAACACAGACGGCGCUUUCUUGGAAAACACAAAGUCUGGAGGAUGGGGCUUUGUAAUCAGAGAUGAUUGUGGUUUGGUGAUGGCUGCUGGUGCAGGUAAUCUGGAGCGAGUCUCAAGUGCGCUUCAUUCGAAGGCUUUGGCGAUGCUUUAUGCCAUAAACAUAGCCAUCCAAAUGGGUUGUAACAGAGUAAUGUUAGAAACUGACUCUGUGCAACUUAAGAAUGCGGUUCGCACUGAAGAAUAUGAUAUGUCAACUCUGGGAGCUGUUUUCAAAGAUAUUAAGUUCCAGUUGCUUGUGGGAUUCAGUGGUGUUUCUAUUGUAUCAUGUCCUAGGUCUUGUAAUGUAGUCGCACACUCUUUAGCAGCGUAUGGUGCUAAAUUAGAAGCUGGCAUAUCUGAGAUUUGGCUUGGCCAGUUUCCAGAUUUUGUAAAUGACGCUGUAGCUGGAGAUUUGUCCAGCCCUGUUAUAUGA
rnacentral:rRNA from 1 species